rnacentral:lncRNA from 1 species
UAAUCUGUGAAACAGGGGAUUGAACAAGAGAGAUUUCAUGUUGCUUUGCAGUGAAAAAUCUCAGACGGUGAGAGGGGAGCUACACAUAGGUGGAAAGGGAGAAGAGAGAUUACCUCUUCUCCGGCAAGGCCUUCCGGAAGAAGAAGAGGAAGAGAGAUACCAACAAGGAUUUCCGGCGGUGAUUUGGCGAUAGAGCUCAAAGGGGUUGCAGGGUGAUCUUAUAUAGAGCGGAGGCUACCGUUUCCUAGCCUCCGGCGGAGUCCAAGG